GACGAACGCUGGCGGCGUGCUUAACACAUGCAAGUCGAACGGGAUCCGGGCUUUCGGGUUUGGUGAGAGUGGCGAACGGGUGAGUAACACGUGAGUAACCUGCCCCCUUCUUUGGGAUAACGUCGGGAAAUCGGCGCUAAUACUGGAUAUUCUUGCUGCAUCGCAUGGUGUGGUUUGGAAAGGGUUUUUGGUGGGGGAUGGGCUCGCGGCCUAUCAGCUUGUUGGUGGGGUGAUGGCCUACCAAGGCUUUGACGGGUAGCCGGCCUGAGAGGGUGUCCGGCCACACUGGGACUGAGACACGGCCCAGACUCCUACGGGAGGCAGCAGUGGGGAAUAUUGCACAAUGGGCGCAAGCCUGAUGCAGCGACGCCGCGUGAGGGAUGACGGCCUUCGGGUUGUAAACCUCUUUCAGUAUGGAACAAGGAUCCUUCUUGUGGGGGGUUUGAGGGUACGUGCAGAAGAAGCGCCGGCUAACUACGUG
rnacentral:rRNA from 1 species